rnacentral:rRNA from 1 species
UGAUCGGCCACACUGGGACUGAGACACGGCCCAGACUCCUACGGGAGACAGCAGUUAGGAAUAUUCGUCAAUGGGGGAAACCCUGAACGAGCAAUGCCGCGUGAAUGAAGAAGGCCCUAUGGGUUGUAAAAUUCUGUUGUAUGGAAAGAAAUGUAAAGUUAGGAAAUGAACUUUACUUGACGGUACCAUUCAAGAAAGCCACGGCUAACUACGUGCCAGCAGCCGCGGUAAUACGUAGGUGGCGAGCGUUAUCCGGAUUUAUUGGGCGUAAAGGGUGCGUAGGCGGUAUGUUAAGUAUAAAAUAAAAGCCCGAAGCUUAACUUCGGUUCGUUUUAUAAACUGUCAAACUAGAGUACAGUAGAGGCAAAUGGAAUUCCUAGUGUAGUGGUAAAAUGCGUAGAUAUUAGGAGGAACACCAGUGGCGAAGGCGAUUUGCUGGGCUGUAACUGACGCUGAGGCACGAAAGCGUGGGGAGCAAAUAGGAUUAGAUACCCUAGUAGUCCACGCCGUAAACGAUGAGU